rnacentral:rRNA from 1 species
UACGUAGGGACCAAGCGUUGUUCGGAUUUACUGGGCGUAAAGGGCGCGUAGGCGGCGUGUUAAGUCAGCUGUGAAAUCUCCAAGCUUAACUUGGAACGGUCAGCUGAUACUGAUGUGCUAGAGUGCAGAAGGGGCAAUCGGAAUUCUUGGUGUAGCGGUGAAAUGCGUAGAUAUCAAGAGGAACACCUGAGGUGAAGACGGGUUGCUGGGCUGACACUGACGCUGAUGCGCGAAAGCCAGGGGAGCAAACGGG